ensembl:processed_transcript D030025E07Rik RIKEN cDNA D030025E07 gene
AAAAGCAAAGAUGCUCAUUAGAAGUCCAAGUGAUUCCCACCACGCUUUGAGGGAGAGCUCGGAUUCCUUACCCAGAGGCUGAGCAGAGCUCAUCCCCUCCUGGAGAAACGGAGAUAGCUCACACCUUCUCCACACUCAAAAGAGCUGAGUGAAGUUUCAUGACAUUUCCUAGGAAGCCAAACUUAGUGGAACUUUAGAUGUGCCUGGGAACAGUGUCUUCAUGCAAGAUCUUCCCUGCUGAGGACUCUUGACGCUGCUGCAGAAGCAGGUAGACGCAGCUGUGCUUAGAAGGCAAUAAGAUCUCCAGACAACAGACCCAGUGACAUCUCCAGGUGAUCUGAUCUCCUAUAGUGGGUCCCCAGUGGUGGCAUCUUAAAUGAAGACACCAACCAACACCUGCUCCAUCUAUCAACUGAAAACCAAUACCUUGGACAGAAAACAAAAUUCUACUGAUGAAAAAUACUGCUUUGUUGUGUUCAAAGCCUAACACUAAGAUAGAAGAGCCUACUUCUAGAGUAAUUCGUAUAACUCUGUGACAAAUCCACUUCAGCCUUGGUAAUGCCUUUCGUUUUGACUUCAAAACAUUCACUGGCUCUCGCGGAUUUGUGCUAUUUAACACCGAGAUAAAGGAAAGGGAUGCUGUGCGCGACACUCGACUCUCUGCUUCCCAUCCCCGGAAAGUCUGGUUGCAUGUUCCAUCUCGUAAAGAAAUGCAUGCUGAUCAUAUGAGCACACCUAAGGAGAAAUCUGCUGGGACCAUGUUUGAUUAAAGAGAUCCUGUGGCAUCUUGUGGGCAGAACUUCUUCAAGUGGUUUCUAGACCCACUGAUGGAAUUUGCUUGUGCCUUCACUAAAGAAAAUUGCCACAGAUGUCUACUUCCUUGACCUGGAUACAAUUCAUCUGCCAGAUUCCAAGCGUCACUCUUUUUUAGAUAAAUAACUGUGCUGCCCUCAUGCCUGCCAUCUGACACCCUCCUGCUUGGAGCAUGUGUCUCCUCCAUACCUAAGCUUCACACCAAGACCAGACUUGUCUAUGACCUAUGAAGUAAUGUGACCUGUUGAGAAGAAACAGCACAUGACUGGAUGUCCUGCACACGCUGCCUGGUCAUCUGACAUCAUGGGUACCUCCCCGAGGUCCUCUCACCUUUCAACUAGUUCUUCCCAUUGAGACAUGCUGAAACAAAAUACACGAUCUCAAUAAUUACUAUGUUCAAUAACCUAGAAUUAAACGUAUUAUCACAACUCUAUGGCACAAUGGGAAAGAAACUCACUCCCCCUUUAAAAAAAAAUAAGUGAAGUGACACGUAUUUAAAAUGUGAUAUACAAAAAAAAAAUCCUUUAAAAAUAUCUUUUUUUGUGUGUAACUUGCUGGGAAAAAAAUCUAUCAUACCUCCUUGUUCACAAAGUUCUGCUUCAUGCUUUUUCUAAAGAAGUAAAAGCAAAACUAAGCUCAUUUUACAGAUGAACAUUAAAGGGUCUUUUUAGAUCUUAAUUUUUCCUUAAUUUUUCAGCCAUCCUAGCUGAAAACACAGCACCUCCCCUCAAAAAAUCAUUUUUACAACAAACAGCUUCUUAUAAUUAUCCAACGCUGCUUUAUAAGCUGAAACCCUUUUAGUAAGUUUACAUAAAAACUCCAUAAGGUCCUUAAAACAUCUGUGAUGAAACUCACACAAUGCAGUAAUAUCCAAGGAGAACUCUCGACAGUAGCUUCUCACAGACUGCCAAAGUCCAUGACUCUUUCUUGAGAUUAUGAAAGGCCAUUCAUUUUUGUUUUCCUGAACUUAACGUCGACUUAACCAAAUCCCCUAACAGUAGCUAAUGGCUCUUAAUUAUAUGAUGAGAUAAAGGAGAAGAAAGUUGUAUUCACUGAAAGGUAGAAUUAUUACUAAAAUUGUCUAAUUUUACAUGACACUAAAAUUAAAGAUGACACAGCAAAGAAAGCAAAAUGCCCCCACGCAGUGGAUGAGCAAAACCCAAGCUUUUACUUUGCCAAGACUGACUUAAGAGAAUAUGUCUCAGUUUCAAAAAAAUGUCAAGAAAGCAGUUAGAUUUCUGCAGUAGAUAUCAACAGUUCUUUCUUAACAUAUGGACAAAUUUCACAUUGUUUUUUGAAUCCAGUAACAUUUCAAUGGUUAAAAUGUCUCCUUCACCACUGAACCACACAGUCUACUCUGAGGCAUCCUCAUUGUUCUCCAAUAUUGUCUUGACUAAGUGUCACAAGCAGACAUCUGACUUUAAGAGGACUAAGAGAUUGAAAAGACCAGUUAAUGGGAAUGCCUAGCAUUGCUAUAUUAAUUCCUUUGUGGGCCAGAUUGUGUUUCCCAAUGGCUUGUGUAAAUAAAUGCACUAGUUAU